AUUGAACGCUGGCGGCAGGCCUAACACAUGCAAGUCGAGCGGAUGAGAGGAGCUUGCUUCUCGAUUCAGCGGCGGACGGGUGAGUAAUGCCUAGGAAUCUGCCUGGUAGUGGGGGACAACGUUUCGAAAGGAACGCUAAUACCGCAUACGUCCUACGGGAGAAAGCAGGGGACCUUCGGGCCUUGCGCUAUCAGAUGAGCCUAGGUCGGAUUAGCUAGUUGGUGAGGUAAUGGCUCACCAAGGCGACGAUCCGUAACUGGUCUGAGAGGAUGAUCAGUCACACUGGAACUGAGACACGGUCCAGACUCCUACGGGAGGCAGCAGUGGGGAAUAUUGGACAAUGGGCGAAAGCCUGAUCCAGCCAUGCCGCGUGUGUGAAGAAGGUCUUCGGAUUGUAAAGCACUUUAAGUUGGGAGGAAGGGUUGUAGAUUAAUACUCUGCAAUUUUGACGUUACCGACAGAAUAAGCACCGGCUAACUCUGUGCCAGCCGCCGCCUAAAAC
rnacentral:rRNA from 1 species